rnacentral:rRNA from 1 species
AGUGAACGCUGGCGGUAGGCCUAACACAUGCAAGUCGAACGGCAGCACAGUAAGAGCUUGCUCUUACGGGUGGCGAGUGGCGGACGGGUGAGGAAUACAUCGGAAUCUACUUUUUCGUGGGGGAUAACGUAGGGAAACUUACGCUAAUACCGCAUACGACCUACGGGUGAAAGCAAGGGAUCUUCGGACCUUGCGCGAUUGAAUGAGCCGAUGUCGGAUUAGCUAGUUGGCGGGGUAAAGGCCCACCAAGGCGACGAUCCGUAGCUGGUCUGGGAGGAUGAUCAGCCACACUGGAACUGAGACACGGUCCAGACUCCUACGGGAGGCAGCAGUGGGGAAUAUUGGACAAUGGGCGCAAGCCUGAUCCAGCCAUACCGCGUGGGUGAAGAAGGCCUUCGGGUUGUAAAGCCCUUUUGUUGGGAAAGAAAAGCAGCAGGUUAAUACCCCGCUGUUCUGACGGUACCCAAAGAAUAAGCACCGGCUAACUUCGUG